GAAUUUUGGACAAAGGGCGAAAGCCUGAACCAGCAAUGCCGCGUGGAGGAUGAAGGCCUUCGGGUUGUAAACUGCUUUUGUACGGAACGAAAAGCUGUGGGUACAUAUCAUGGAGUCAUGACGGUACCGUAGGAAGAAGCACCGGCCAACUACGUCCCAGCCGCCGCGGUAAUACGUAGGGUGCAAGCGUUAAUCGGAAUUACUGGGCGUAAAGCGUGCGAAGGCGGUUUUGUAAGACAGAGGUGAAAUCCCCGGGCUCAACCUGGGAACUGCCUUUGUGACUGCAAGGCUAGAGUACGGCAGAGGGGGGUGGAAUUCCGCGUGUAGCAGUGAAAUGCGUAGAUAUGCGGAGGAACACCGAUGGCGAAGGCAACCCCCUGGGCCUGUACUGACGCUCAUGCACGAAAGCGUGGGGAGCAAAC
rnacentral:rRNA from 1 species